rnacentral:rRNA from 1 species
UACAGAGGUCUCAAGCGUUGUUCGGAUUCAUUGGGCGUAAAGGGCGCGUAGGCUGCGGGGCAAGUCGGGUGUGAAAUCUCAGAGCUCAACUCUGAAACUGCACUCGAUACUGCUUUGCUCGAGGACUGGAGAGGAGAUUGGAAUUCACGGUGUAGCAGUGAAAUGCGUAGAUAUCGUGAGGAAGACCAGUGGCGAAGGCGGCUCACUGGACCGGAACUGACGCUGAGGCGCGAAAGCGUGGGGAGCAAACAGG